rnacentral:rRNA from 1 species
AACGAACGCUGGCGGCAUGCCUAACACAUGCAAGUCGAACGAGACCUUCGGGUCUAGUGGCGCACGGGUGCGUAACGCGUGGGAACCUGCCCUUAGGUUCGGAAUAACUCCCCGAAAGGGGUGCUAAUACCGGAUAAUGUCUUCGGACCAAAGAUUUCUCGCCUUUGGAUGGGCCCGCGUUGGAUUAGCUAGUUGGUAGGGUAAAAGCCUACCAAGGAGACGAUCCAUAGCUGGUCUGAGAGGAUGAUCAGCCACACUGGGACUGAGACACGGCCCAGACUCCUACGGGAGGCAGCAGUGGGGAAUAUUGGACAAUGGGCGAAAGCCUGAUCCAGCAAUGCCGCGUGAGUGAUGAAGGCCUUAGGGUUGUAAAGCUCUUUUACCCGGGAUGAUAAUGACAGUACCGGGAGAAUAAGCUCCGGCUAACUCCGUG